AUUGAACGCUGGCGGAAUGCUUUACACAUGCAAGUCGAACGGCAGCACGGGAGCUUGCUCCUGGUGGCGAGUGGCGAACGGGUGAGUAAUAUAUCAGAACGUAUCCAAUAAUGGGGGAUAACUAGUCGAAAGAUUAGCUAAUACCGCAUACGCCCUGAGGGGGAAAGCUGGGGAUCUUCGGACCUGGCGUUAAUGGAGCGGCCGAUAUCUGAUUAGCUAGUUGGUGAGGUAAAGGCUCACCAAGGCAUCGAUCAGUAGCUGGUCUGAGAGGACGACCAGCCACACUGGAACUGAGACAAGGUCCAGACUCCUACGGGAGGCAGCAGUGGGGAAUUUUGGACAAUGGGUGCAAGCCUGAUCCAGCCAUUCCGCGUGAGUGAAGAAGGCCUUCGGGUUGUAAAGCUCUUUCGCAAGGGAAGAAAACUUAUCCUCUAACAUAGGGUGAGGUUGACGGUACCUUGAUAAGAAGCACCGGCUAACUACGUGCCAGCCGCCGCAGUAAAAC
rnacentral:rRNA from 1 species